rnacentral:rRNA from 1 species
UGGCGAACGGGUGAGUAACGCGUGAGGAACCUGCCUCAAAGAGGGGGACAACAGUUGGAAACGACUGCUAAUACCGCAUAAGCCCACGGCUCGGCAUCGAGCAGAGGGAAAAGGAGCAAUCCGCUUUGAGAUGGCCUCGCGUCCGAUUAGCUAGUUGGUGAGGUAACGGCCCACCAAGGCGACGAUCGGUAGCCGGACUGGGAGGUUGAACGGCCACAUUGGGACUGGGACACGGUCCAA